rnacentral:lncRNA from 10 species
GAACACAAAAUGGCGACACGUGGUUAGCAUUCGUCGCCAACGAGAAAUUGGGGUCGGCCCGAAAGCUCUAGAAUGCACCCCUCUUCCUCCCCGGGGCCUUCCACCUCCGCGAGUUUUAUGACUUAAAAAAGCCCACAGGCUGGUCUGAAGAGGAAGACAAACAUAAAGAUGAAGUGCUUAAUUCAAGGUCACACAAUGUCGGGGAUGGACCUCCAGAUUUCCUUACUGACCUGCAUUAUCUUGUGGAUACCUGAGUGAAUUCCACACCACCCAUUUUAUAGAUGAAACCACUGAGACAUGGAGCAAUUGACUGAGUAGUCACUGCCCCACCCCUGCCUGGAGCCUCACACAUGACUCGCCUCCUCUCAGUGACCACAGUACUUAUCCUGUAUUACAUGAAGGAAAUGAAAUAAAAAGACUGCAGCCCCACUCCCAGCUACUCAGUGAGGUGGUAGCUAGGUGAGACGUGGUCUUGUAACACAGUGGUUAAGAAUGUGACUUUGGAGCCAGCCUGCUAGGGGCUGAAUUCUGACUCAGCCAUUUACUAACUGUGUGACCUUAGGUGGAGUCUCACUCUGUAGCCCAAGCUGGAGUGGCGUGAUCUCGACUCACUGCAACCUCCGCCUCCUGGGAUCAAGUGAUUCUCGUGCCUCAGCCUCCUGAGUAGCCGGGACUACAGGUCACAGAAUUUUCCAC